UAAAAAGUAAAGUUAGAAAGGAGGUGACAGCAGCAAUGAGUCCCAUGGAUUGACUGCAGUGUCUGAACCAUCUUGCUUUGAUUUGAUUUGGCCUGGAGCAUCCAACUGGUUUAUUUGAAACCCCCCAGCUGCUGACAGACAGGGAUGGGGAGCAGUUCUUCUCUCAUCUGCAGCUCAUUGUGACUCACGAUUUUACAGACCUCUCCCAUACUUCUUCCUUAUUCCAGUUACUCCUCAUACAGAAGCAGUCUAUUUCUUCAAAUCACCUUUUUCCUUCCUCCUGAACAUAUUCCACAUCCACUGACCACUUGGGACUCGAAAUGCCAGCCACAAACUGGGAGGAAAAAGUGCUGUAAUUCCUCUGCAGUGUUACCCAGAAAGUGAAGCUCCACCCGUGUGAGUCACCAAACCCAAAAGGGCUGAUGUAUUUCCUCAUGCCUAUGUAACGCUGAAUGAUGAAAUAAAAAUGAG
ensembl:lncRNA